ensembl:lncRNA
CUUUGUUCUGGCUUGCAGGACGACUGUCCAGGGCCCUCUCCUUUCCUGGACGUAACAGAUACAAGUGGUAAGUAUUGAGAGUUUGGAUGCACAAUGGAUACCUGCUGCUACUUUUGACGAACUCCGAGGCGACCCAGCGGAUUAUACUCCCGGUCGUCCAGAUGCUGGGGGAACUGCCCAAGGGCUGCCGGGAUCCAACUAAAACCGUACUGGUAAGUGUACGGGAGGGGGUUUCCACGGUCUCUGUAUCCUGAGUGACGAGUCGACAUGCAGGUAGACGCUUCAAAGGGACCCGCUAGAUCUGCACAAGAGCAUAAAGGUAAGUGUAACAGGACUGGACACGGAUAGUGGACAGAGGGGCCGCUGGCUCUUCACUCGGGGGCACAAGUAAGUCCGUAGGAAAGACAACUGGGGUUUCACUUGAGCAUACAGGCGAGUGUACAACACAAUAUGUUGGCUUUAGCUUUGGGCAUAAGGUAAGUACAUCCAAUACAACUGGGACUUCACUCUGGGCAGACAGGCGAGUGUACAACACAAUAUGCUGGCUUUAGCUUUGGGCAUAAGGUAAGUACAUCCAAUAUAACUGGGACUUUACUCUGGGCAGACAGGCGAGUGUACAACACAAUAUGCUGGCUUUAGCUUUGGGCAUAAGGUAAGUACAUCCAAUACAACUGGGACUUCACUCUGGGCAGACAGGCGAGUGUACAACACAAUAUGCUGGCUUUAGCUUUGGGCAUAGGGUAAGUACAUCCAAUAUAACUGGGACUUUACUCUGGGCAGACAGGUAAUAAUACACGCACAGCUGAUUUCCUCCUACAGCAGCCAACUCCUCACCAUUGAUACUUCCCAAUAGAUCCACACUGUUCUUACUUGAAAUUGUUUCCCACCACCGUCACGUGGGGAAGAAGGGUCAGGAUGUCA